rnacentral:rRNA from 1 species
GAUGAACGCUAGCUACAGGCUUAACACAUGCAAGUCGAGGGACCGGCGCACGGGUGAGUAAUACGUAACCAACCCGCCCUCUACUCGGGGAUAGCCUCACGACAGAAAGAUUAAUACCCGAUCAAAAGGAGCCGGAUUCGUUCCAUUCGGUUGUUGGUGAGGUAACGGCUCACUAAGCCUUCGAUGGAUAUGGGUUCAGAGAGGCAGGUCCCCCACGUUGGAACUGAGACACGAUCCAAACUCCUACGGGAGGAAGCAGUAAGGAAUAUUGGUCAAUGUGCGCUAGCCUGAACCAGCCAAGUAGCGUGAAGGAUGAAUGCUUAUGGGGCGUAAACUACUUGUAUAUAAGAAUAGGUAUUAUAUGAAUAAGGAUCGGCUAACUCCGUGCCAGCAGCCGCGGUAAUUC